CUCACCAUCAGAACCUGAGGAAGAGCCAAGCACUGCCCACCACUCGGAGGCAGCAGAGCGCACGUCUGGGAAAGGCCCUAUGAAGCAGGGAAGAGCCUUUGAAGUCGGGCUUUUGCAAAAACGAACCUAUAAAUGAUGGCCUAUAUCCAUCAACAGACUAGAGAACAUUCCAGAGGCAAAAGGACUGUCGGGACCUGGAAGAGGGUAGAACCACAAGAUAGACAAGACCAAGACUCAGCCCUGAUUUUGAACCUUUGCUCUCACUCUUAUCAGCUGUGUGAUCUUCAACCAAUGCCUGUACACGCUUGCAGCCCUGUGGCAGAGGUUGCCUGUGCUUCCUCACAUCAUUGCCUUUUCUCUGAGCACACAGGACAACUGAGCAGUGGCCCUGGGACAGAUUCCGGCCAAUGGGGUACCCAUAGUACAUCCAAGGCUGUGUUAAAAUUCUUCUGUUUUGCCACCUGGGAUUUCUCCUCCAAAUAAUUUUUUUUCCCAAUACAAAACAUGGCAUACUUACUGUGGAAGAUCUGAAAAGAAAUUUAGAAUGAAAAUAUCCAGCCACUAAGAUGAUCAUUAUUAAGAUCAUGGAAUAUUUCCUAAGUAUAUUUUUUUUAUCAGAGUUGAGAACAUAAUGCCCAUACGAUUCUGUAUCUGUCGUACUUUUGCUUGCCAUUAACCUAAGCCUCUCCCCCGUGUCACUAAACACUACUUAUUACUUUCAGGAGUUCCGUAAUAUCCCGUUGCAAGGACAUACCAUAGUUUUCCUGACCAAUUUCAUACUGUUGGGUAGGUAGAUCCUUUCCAGUUUCUCAGUGUUCUACAACAUGCUGCAAUGGCCAUAUCUGUAAACUUUGGGUCUCUUCCUUUGCAGUCUGAAUUCUUUAAGGUGAUUGAGGUUUUAGACUUGGGUAAUACAUGAGAAACUGUAAUGUGUGUUAGAAAUAACCGGAUUUCUGGAAUGUAACAGCAUAGGGAGGUCAGCUGUGGGAACUGGGCUGCAAAAUUCUUUUCUGCACCAGCUCUGGGGAGAAGUACGCAGCUGUCUGAGCAUGAGGGAUGAUGGAGGGUCCUCCCCCCAGUUUUCUUUGAGGGCCAGGCAAGCCCUCUGUCUUGGAAGAGUCCAGACUCCUGUUUCUUGAGCUAGUGGUUAUGCGGGCCAUACUUCUUGAGGGUUGUUCCUUUUUACUUAUUAUUUUGACCAACACCUGAGUUUUUUUUAAUGGAACUAUAAUUAACAUGCUGUAACAUUCACCCUCUUAAAGUGCAUAAUUCAGUGGUUUUAAUAUAAUCACAAAGUUGUGCAACCAUUACCAUUAUCUGACUCCAGAACAUUUUCAUCACCCCAAACAGAAAUGUGUACCCAUUGGCAGUCCUUCUCUCACUGUCCAAACCCUUCGCUCCUAGUAGCACUAAUUUACUUUCCCAUGUCUAUUGAUUUGCCUAUUUUAAAAAAAGAUUUUAUGUAUUUAUUCAUGAGAGAGACAGAGAGAGGCAGAGACACAGGCAGAGGGAGAAGCGGGCUGUCUGCGGGGAGCCCGACGUGGGACUCAAUCCCAGGACCCCGGGAUCAUGACCUGAGCUGAGGGCAGACAUUCAACUGCUGAGCCACCCAGGUGCCCCUGCCUAUUUUACCUUCGUGGAAGUGGGGUCUAUGACAUGUGGGCAUUUAUGUCUGGCUUCUUUCACUUAGCGCAGUAUUGUCAAGGGUCAUGCAUGUUGUAGCAUGUAUCAAUACUUCAUGUUUUAAGGCUAAGUAAUAUUCCACUGUAUGGGUAGAUCACCUUUGUUUAUCCACUCAACAGAUAACAGACCUGUGACUUGUUUCCAUUUUUUGGAAUAAUAAUGCUGCUGUGAACACUUAAUUCUCUAUCUCUCUCUUUCUUUCUUUUUUUUUUUCUUUUCUUUUCUUUUCUUUUUUUUUUUUUUUUUUUUUUUUUGAGAGAGAGAGUGCACAAGAAUGGGGCUGGGGACUUUGGUACAGAGAGAGGGAAAUGAAGAGAGAGAAUCUUAAGCAGGCUGCAUGCCCAGCACAGAGCCCCACACAGGGCUCAAUCCCAUGACCCUGAGAUCAUGACCAGAGCUGAAACCAAGAGUCUGACUCUUAACCAUUGAGACGCCCCUUGAACAUUGAAUUCUAACUUAACCAUGUACAAGUUAUUGUGUGGAUACAUAGUUCCAAUUCUCUUGGGUAUAUACCCAGGACUAGAAUUCCUAUUAACUCCGUGUUUAACUAACUAAAGAACUGCCAAACUGUUUUCCAGAAGGCAAGCACGUUUUUACAUGUCCUCCAGCAAUGUGUAAGAGUUCCAAUGUCUCUACAUCUUCAUCAACACUUGCUAUUUGUCCAUCUUUUUUAUUAUAAGCCAGAACAAGGGUUUGCUAGUAGGUGUGAAGUGAGAUCUCAUUGAGGCUUGGUUUGCAUUUUUUUAAUGCUUAGUAAUGAUAAACGUCUCUUCACAUUCUUAUUGGGUAUUUGUACAUCUUCUUUAGAGGAAUGUGUAUUCAAAUCCUUUGCCCAGGUUUUUUGUUGUUGUUGUUUUUGUUUUUUAAAAGACUUUACUUAUUUAUUGAGAGAGAGACAGAGAGAGCACAAGCAGAGGGAGCAGCAGGCAGAGGAAGAGGGAGAAGCAGACUCCCCACUGAGCAGGGAGCCUGAUUCCGGGCUGGAUCCCAGGACCCUGAGAUCACGACCUGAGCCAACAGUAGACGUUUAGCCAACUGAGCCACCCAGGAGCUCCUUUGCCCAGUAUUAAAUCUGGUUAUUUAUCUUUUUUUGUAGAGUUGUAAGAGUUUUUUUUAAAAUAUAUUCUGAAUAUAGAUUCUUAUCAUAUAUAAGAUUUGCAAAUAUUUUUUCUUAUUUUGUGAGUUGACUUUUCACUUUCUUGGUGGUAUCCAAGAAACACAAAUGUUUUUAUUUUUGAUGGAGUUUAUCUAUUUUUUCUUUUUGUUGUGAUUCUGGCGUCAUGUCUAACUCAAGUUCACAAAGAUUUAUUCCUGUUUUCUUCUAAGAAUUUCAUAGUUUUAGCACUUGCAUUUAAGUGUCUGAUUCAUUCUGAGUUACUUUUGUAUAUGAUGUGAGGUACAGAUUCUUUCUUUCUUUCUUUCUUUCUUUCUUUCUUUCUUUCUUUCUUUCUUUCUUUCUUUCUUUUCUUUCUUCUUCCUUCCUUCCUUCCUUCCUUCCUUCCUUCCUUCCUUCCUUCCUUCCUUCCUUCCUUCCUUUCUUUCUCUCUUUCUCCCUUUCUCCCUUCCUUCCUUCCUUCCUUCCUUCCUUCCUUCCUUCCUUCCUUCCUUCCUUCCUUCCUUUCUCUCUUUCUCUCUCUCUCUUUCUUUCUCUCUCUCUUUCUUUCUCUCUUUCUUUCUUUCUUUCUUUCUUUCGUAUGGAUAUGCAGUCAUCCCAACACUAUUUGCUGAAAAGACUAUUCUUUUCCCAGUGGAUUGUCUUCACACCCUUGUUGAAAAUCAAUUAUCUAUAAACAUAGGAGUUAAUUUUUGGACUCUCAGUGUGUGUCUAUCCUUAUACCAGUGCCACACUGUCUUGAUUAGUGUAGGUUUGUCAUAGGUUUUGAAAUUGAGAAAACUCUGUCUUCCAACUUUGAUCUUUUUCAAGACUCUUUUGGCUAUUUUGGGUCCCUUGCAUUUCUAUAUGAAUUUAGGAUCAAUUUGUCAAUUUAUGCAAGAAAGGCAACUGAGGUUUUGACUGGGAUAGUGUUGAAUCUGUAGACCAGUCUGGGGAGUAUUGCCAUCUUAACAUUAUUUAGUCUUCUCCAGUGUUAUUCUUAAAAAACAAAACAAGCCACAAACCUCAACAGUUACUUAACUCACAUAACCACAAUUAUUGUUUUUCCGCAGUGUGGAUAGCUCCUAUUUCCUCCAACUACCUUUUAAAAUGGAAUGCUUUGCCUUGUAAAUGAAUUAUUUUCUUUUACCAGACAAGCUCAACUAUUUAUAUUUCUAUAUGAUUCUUUUUAGUGAGUUAUUAGGAGUAAAAUAUGAAUUUCACUAAAAGGUGGAAAUGCCAAGGCAAAAAAACCCAAAUAUCCAAAUGACUGACCUAUUUGCCACAAAAGAAUAGGUGGAAGUGUGAUGAAAAGGCAAAGUUCUGGGUUUGCGUACCACGAUGCUCUCCCAGAGUAUUAGCAAGUGCUCAUUUUGAAUCCUGCGUGUUCUCCGUUCGCGUGCCACUCUUUGGUGUGCCGUUUUUAAAUAGUACUUAAUGUCUCUGAAAGUGGUGUGAUCUGGGUUUUUAGGUGUCUUUGUGAGCAUGUGUCCGUAAUAUGAGUCACAUUUACAUUUUUUUAAGAUUUUAUUUUUAAAUGAUUACUCUACCAACAUGGGGCUUGAACCCACAACCCAAAGACCAAGAGUCGCAUGCUCCACUGAUGGAGCCAGCCAAGUGCCCCAAAGUCACACUUAAUUUUAAUGACAGAUUAGAGUUGCUAGAGCGUCCCCUGUUGCCUCUUCUGCACUUGGCCCUCACCCCUACCCCACCUUGUUUCUGCUAGGCCUCCAGGAGACACUCAUGGCUGGAUUGCCAAAACCAUGUAAGAGUGCCAUUUGGGGAUUCAUUUAAGUCUCCCCAGAGGAGCAGAGACUGAGUACCAGAGCAAUGCCAUUUCUGUAUAGAUGAAGAGAAUGGUCUUCUUGAUCCUAAAUCGUACCUAGUCCUGAGUCUUUCUGGAUCACUGGAAAGUGAUUUUCCAAAUCAUUGGAAAAAUCCAAAAAAACCUCAGGCCCUUUCAUCCUUAACCAUACUGCAACCGCAUUGAAGCCCCUCCAGGGGAAAUAGGCAGCAUCCCAUCUAUAACCUUCUCUAUUCUUCCUAUUUCCACCUCACCCCAGCCUUCUCCUUCCUUCUGGUGGCCAAAAAGAAGCUGAAUGAAUGUAAGAAUAGGAGGGCUGGGGGCCACCUCACUCACUCAGGGAGCUAUCUGCUCUCUGGGGUCAACGUGAGUUUCUGUUGGUUGAAAACGGACCCAUCCCCAAGAAGCGUUAUGAGGAUUAACUCAAGUAAUGCAAAUAAAAAUACACGAAAAUAAUGCAAAAUAAAAAUAAAAUAGUGCAAAAAAAAGAAAAAGUCCCUGGUUCAAAGAAGACAUUUUCUCCUGCGUUUAAUUUUUUUUUUUUUUGAGAGGUAAGGGAGCAGUGGAGAGAGAGGGUGAGAGAGAAUCCUAAGAAGACUCCCUGCUGAGCACAGAGCCCCAGGCAGGGCUCCAUCCCAUGACCCUGAGAUCAUGACCUGAGCCGAAAUCAAGCGUCGGAUGCCUAACCGACUGAGCCACCCAGGCGCCUGGCUCUUGGGUUUCAAAAUAUUGAAAGCGACAAGAUUCCUUUUUUGGUUAAAGGAACCUUUUCCAAAUAUUUCUCACUGCCCCUGGGGAAUUUUCCCCAGGGCCUGUGAGUCCAGAAAAGACUGCUGGGCUAGCCCC
rnacentral:lncRNA from 1 species